UUUUAGUCAACCUCUCCUGAUCCUUAAAGCAAAUAAGAAGGCCAUUAGCUUGAGGUUGGCUCUGUUCUGUAGCUUUCAUGUAAGCAAACUGAUGCUUACCUUGGAGGCAUUACUUGUAGCUGAUAUUCAAAAAAACAAACCUAGCCUCAAUCAGUCACAAGCAGUCAAACCGGCCAAGUGCUUCUCCAACUAGACAUCUGCGUGCCCAGUCAUGAAUCCAAGGGAAUGGUAAAUUGACAAGAACAAACAAGCAUGGAGCUGGUCGGCUACCGCAGAGCCACCUUUGGAGAAUUGCCGGUGCCCACAGAAGACCUGGAACUGUGAAACUUCCAAAAGAAAUCAUUGGAAAAACAUUUCAGGAUACUGGUGUGGGCAAAGACUUUUUGGGUAAGGAAUUCAAAAGCACAGGCAACAAAAACAAAAAUAAACAAACAGGAUCACAUCAAGCUGAAAGCCACUGCGCCACAAAGACUGAAUGGGACAUACUUUCAUGUCCCUUUGUAUGCCUUAUAAUUUUUUUGAAAAACUGGGCAUUUAAAUGCUAAAUUGUGGUAACUCUA